rnacentral:rRNA from 1 species
GACGAACGCUGGCGGCGUGCCUAAUACAUGCAAGUCGAACGCUUCUUUUCUACCGAGUGCUUGCACUCAAUUGAAAAGAGGAGUGGCGGACGGGUGAGUAACACGUGGGUAACCUGCCCAUCAGAAGGGGAUAACACUUGGAAACAGGUGCUAAUACCGUAUAACAAUGAGAACCGCAUGGUUCUCAUUUGAAAGGCGCUUUCGGGUGUCGCUGAUGGAUGGACCCGCGGUGCAUUAGCUAGUUGGUGAGGUAACGGCUCACCAAGGCAACGAUGCAUAGCCGACCUGAGAGGGUGAUCGGCCACACUGGGACUGAGACACGGCCCAGACUCCUACGGGAGGCAGCAGUAGGGAAUCUUCCGCAAUGGACGAAAGUCUGACGGAGCAACGCCGCGUGUGUGAAGAAGGUUUUCGGAUCGUAAAGCACUGUUGUUAGAGAAGAACAAGGAUAAGAGUAACUGCUUGUCCCUUGACGGUAUCUAACCAGAAAGCCACGGCUAACUACGUGCCAGCAGCCGCAGUAAAAC